UGAACUUGCACCCCCUUCGGAGUUACAUACCCUCCUCUUUUCCUUUUCCACGGAACUCUCUUGAACAUAAUGCCACUCCAACCGGUGCCACGGUGCUCGCCCCAAGCGACACCACCCUUUUUGCGUAACUGCUAUCCACAUACUCUGGUUCUCAUUGCAGGGGCUCUCAAUCCCAUGCACUCUCUCCACUCAUCAAAAUCACUGCCUCCGCUAAACAAGAUCAAUAACCCGGGGCCAGACCUUCCAAUGCAAUCACACUGCAACAUACGCGAUCCGCAAAUCUCAAACUAAUCCAGCAAUACCAACAGAGUCUCCAGUAUGACUGGACCGACUCUCAUAACACAUACUAGCCACUCGAGGCUAUAUCUCUGUGGGUCCGUACACCCAAACUCUGCGAACCCUCAGGUUCUAACUCUGGGAACCUUCCGGUUCCAGCUCUAGAAACAUGCACAACAUAAUCCCGUGGGAUUAAUGCAGUACAACCCAUCACGUACCUCAAACGUACCAAUACUCUGAUCGCAAAAUUCCGAUUACUUACUCAAGCUUGAUCCCGACCUCCUCUCAGGCCUCCACAAUCAAAUGCCCUAGGUCUGUAUCUCGCCCCGCAUACUCAACACUCGCUCUCGUCGGCCUAUACUUUGCGCUGACAAACACUGCUGAAUCCCAACAGCUAAGCACCCUUACAUACUCAUCGAUCUCCCGGAGAAUUUUACAAUUCUCCCCCACUAAAGCACUGACUAACUGCCACCGGUCGUCAUUAACGACCUUACAGAACAAUCCUGUACAAAGAGAACAAUUACACACUGACUGCUUCCCACAAGCACAAGCAACCCUCAGCAAAACACACCUCCUCCCUGAUCAACCCACUCACAAGAAUCUAGUCCUUCAAUCAUCCACUCCACGACUGUAGAUGCUACCCGACAAUCAACCCAGUGCCGCAUCUCCCCUAACAACCCCCACGAACGAUAACCAAAGGAAUCCUCGACAAUAACCCAUAACCAAACUCACAAUCUGCCCAAAGGAUGAACACCACAUCGAAAACCGCACAAGACUACUGACACUAAAACACCAAUUAUAACCAUACCCAACCAUCAGGGAAUAACGAAUGCCAAAGCGAAAACCUGAAGCACCAAUCCAUAACCAUGCCAGACCCGCGAAACAACGAAUACCGCAUCGAAAUCCAUACAAGAUACCAGCACAAACAAUACGCCAAAUCAAUGCCAGACAAUUAAGACAUCAUGAAAGCAUCAUACCCGCAGCUGUCUCCGGCACUGCUCCGUCUCCCUCUGUCGCACGCAGAUAAACACGACCCUGAGCCCUCUGGGGCUCCGCUUCAUCCUGUCCUCCUCAAAUCCCGAAUUGGCACUGACUGCCAACUAUCCCGUGCACAGUGCCCCUCCUUUCCGCACUUGCGGCAUGCACCAUUGGGCCAACAAGCUCCGGUGCCAUCUCUCUCACACUUCCCACAAGUGUGACCGCUCCGAUCCCCCAUUUCAACGUCUACGGUCCUGAACCGUUUCGGCGCCGACUGCGACUGCAUCGGGGCCUGUCCCAGCUCACGCAACUGCAACUUAACCUCUAACUCACGCCACAUGGCGGCCUUCUGCAACUCCAACAGGGUCUCGCACCUCCGCGCAGACACGAACUGUCUGAUACCCCCUUGAGCUUACUCGAAUAUCGGGCAUCUGAGCCUGCUCCGAAGCGAACUCAGGGCAAAACAUCGCCCUCUCAAUAAACAUCCCGGUGCUCUCAGUCACCGACUCCAAAUCCUGCUUCAGCUUAAGGAACUUCCGAGCCAAUUUCUCCUUUUCAUCCCGCGGAACAUAGCGAGUACUGAACAUCCCUCUGAAUUGAUCCCAUGAAACCGCAGCCCUCUGCGCAUCGGAAAAUGACCUCGUGGUCAAUCUCCACCAAUCCUUCGCCCCGAGCCUCAAUAGGUUCAGAGCACACCCCACCCUCUGAUCAGCAGGGCAUAAACUCGUGGAGAAACACCCCUCCAUGUCUGAUAACCAUCUCAUAGCAACAAUCGAGUCCUGAACUCCAUCGAAUGUGGGAGGCUUCGCAUAAUAGAAGUCCCGAUACUGAAAACCCCGACUAGCCCCUUUCUUUGCCGUUGCUACAGCCGCUGUAACCGCCGCGGCAGCCGUCUCUGCGAAAGCCGCAUAUCGCUCAUCAAACUACUUCAAUCAUAGUGGUCCUGAUCGACCCAAACAAUUCUGGCGACUCAGCCCGCAACAAUGCAGCAACCUCAUCACGCCGGAUCUCGCGAAUCCUCGCAUCCCGCUCGCUCGUGCUCGUCCGAUCGAUAACCGGAUAACAAGAUAGCCACAAGCAUCAUCCACUACGAACCAUGGUACUCAUCCCAUGACAUCCUUCCUCAACAUGCUUCGGUGUAUGGUACCUGAACCAUAGCACCAUUCCUCAACCUGCUCCAAUGUAUAGCACUCGAACCACAACAUCUAUCUCAAUCUGUUCCGAUGUAUGGUGCCCUGACCAUAACAUCACUCUGUAUCCGCUCCGAUGUAUGGUAUCCGAACCAUAACAUCACCCCUCAAUCUGUUCCUUAGGACCUUCAGAAUGCCCCCUGUAUCAAGUAUGGGUCCUCUGCUUUCAGUAGUACGGGCCCAUACUACCUGCCACAUCUACCCAUACUUUCCACACGGACCAUCCCAGAGUUCCUAAGUAGCUGAUAAACCUGCUCUUUCACCCAUCUCAUCGCGCGUGCUCGCUUUCCAGCGAAAUCCUCUACUCUACCAGCGCACUCAUCUGGCUAGGUUUACUCCCUAGUCCCUUCCGCUGUCCUCCCACUUCUUUGCUAUCAGCUGCUGAAGAGUUCCUAAUGAUGCCAGCCCUCUACCUCCUGAGUAUCGUCAUACUCACUUAGUAGCUGACUCCCAUCAUCGAUAACUCCACAAAGCACAAAGCAAGCAGCAUUCGAGCAUUGAAGCAUACAUAGGACUCCCCAUCUGUGGUAGCUCCACCUUCUCGGCUCAUCCUCGGAAGUACCUCUGUACCCCGUAGCUUUACCCCUUGUGCGUUCUAACUAGAUACUCUCACUCAUCACAUACACACAAAAGCAUAACGCACAUAUAACAGCAAACCCUAGACUAAGGCAUCACAAAUCAGGCCACUCUAGUCCUAAGAUGUGAAAUACCUAGCCUGUCUCUAGCAUGCAAUAAUGUCUCAUAAAGUGCAUAAUAGAUAUUUCAUAAUACAAAAGUAAGGGUAUUUUGGGAAAUCACCGUUUGGCUCUGGCUGAUUGUACACACUGCUCUUUCUUGCUUUCUCUUUGAACUCUUAUUCACUUUUAGAAAACCAUUUAUUUGGAAAACUUUUUCUUACUUCCUCAGUUUGAGUCCAGAUUUACCCGUAGGCGCGUCCGAAUCCCUCAAACCAAGGCUCUGAUACCAAUUUGUAACACCGUGAUUUCCAAAAACAAAAUUUUCAUUUAAAUAAUCAAUUUAAUAUUAAAAACACUUGUUUAAAAUCUUAUUCACAUUCGAAUUACAAAACAUAGUUUCAUUUUCAUUAUAAUAGAAGACCAGGAUCCUCCAAAACACAACUCUUUCUUCGGUGUGUACAAUCGAACCGUUGCCAUCCCGCGUUACUGUAAGAACCUGAAACAACAUAACAUAAACAACGUAAGCACGAAGCUUAGUGAGUUCCCCAAUAUACCUUACGCACAUACGCCUUCCGGCCCGGACCUUUCGGUCCACAUAACAUUGCCUUCCGGCCCGGACCUUUCGGUCCACAUAACAUUGCCUUCCGGCCCGGACCUUUCGGUCCACAUAACAUUGCCUUCCGGCCCGGACCUUUCGGUCCACAAUAUAUAUCGCCUUCCGGCCCAUAAGAUAAUUGCCUUCCGGCCCAUACACAUAUAUAACACAUAAUACAAAUACUCUAACACAUAAAGCACAUAUAUCAUAUAUCAUACCUGACCUUUCUGUCACAUAAUACCUUGCCUUCCGGCCCAUAUAUAAGCAUGUAUAUCACGCGUAGCAGCUAACUUUCCAUUUAUAGCAUAUAAACAUAACACAUAACAUACUUGACCUUCCGGUCACACAAUCAAACCCUUCCGGGUGAAGUAUAGUGAGAAGACUCACCUCGCGGACACUGGAAGAUAGCAACUCCUAAAAUCCCUUGCACUUGAUCCUCCGAGCUACAAGCUCCCUGUAACAUCAUAUAUCCCUUAUUAAUACUUCUAUCUUCCACGUUAACUGACCCUAAGAAAUCACACCAGUCAACUCUGGUCAACAGUCCAUUGUCAGCUCGACUGGACUCGGCGAGUUCCCUGGCGACUCGGCGAGUCUGGUCGUCCUUCAAUCCUCUGAGAUUCCCCUUCUACUCGUCGAGUAUCCUCUUUGACUCGACGAGUCACUCCUGGAAGAAUCGCGGGGCCACCCCGACUCCACUCGCCGAGUCUGAAGAACAACUCGGCGAGUCCCAGUGAAUCUUCAAGCUACUCGCCGAGUCUGAUCAUCCGACUCGGCGAGUCCACGCCAUGCAGUCGAUCAAACUGCUUCCUGAGAUACAUAUUUUCCCGAAUAUACAAACAUAGGACCUUCUGGACCUCUAAGGGGUACUAAUACAGGGUUAUAAACGUUGGAUAAUAACACAACAAUCCAUCUAACCCCAAAUGGGUUUCAUAAACCCUAAAUUCGUGUACACAUCAAAAUAACAGGAAUGAUCCGAAACAUAACCUGAAAACGUACUCUCUGUGUCCCCAAACCUCAGAACUCGACCCCCUUGCUCUUCCUUUGGCCAAAAUCCUUCCUCUUCUUGCACCACAAUUCCUUCAAAGUCAAUAAUGGCCUUCAAGUUUUGCUCCAGAUGCCACAGUCGUCUAGGGUUCUCCACAAUCGGCCAAAAGACGUGAAAUGACGACAUAACAACCCUUAAAUACGACCCAAUACGAAACGGCUAGGGUUUCUGCUGAACAGCGUCGACUCGCCGAGUCCAUACCUGGACUCGUCGAGUCCAGUCGCGAACCCGCGACCAAAUCUGCGACCCUACUCGGCGAGUCUGGCUCCAACUCGCCGAGUCUCCCCUUUAAAACACCCCAAAAUGCAAUUUAACAAUACUUGAGAUUUUGGGCUGUUACAAUUCUCCCCCACUAGAAUUAGACUUCGCCCUCGAAGUCUCACUCUGAAAAUAGUUCUGGAUGCUGCUCCCGCAUCACACGUUUCGGCUUCCCUAAACACUUCCGAUAUCUUCCGAGGCCGCUACUGAACCAAUACCAGAGGUACCUCCUUGUUCCUCAGAACCUUGAUCUUCCGAUCUCCGACGGCCACUGGCCUCUCGACGUAACACAGGCUCGCAUCCACCUAAUCGUUCUCUAGUAGAACCACUGCUGACUCAUCCGCUAUACACCUCUUCAACUGCGACACAUACCAGUGUCAUGGAUCCGUCCCAAUUCCGUUGACAGCUCCAAACGAUAGGCCACCCUUCCUACCUUCGCACCUUCACGAAAAGACCCAACAUACCGGGGCCCCCCAUUUACCCCUCUUCCUAAAUCGAAGCACCCCGUCAGAAAUACGAAGUCGCUGACCUGAAUCACAUGCUCGUAACGGCGUCUGCCUGCAUAACUUUCCUGUUAACUCUAGACGAUCACUAACUCUCUUUAACCUGCUGAGUCUGCUUUGUCAACUAAAGUACGAACUCUGAACUGCUCAUCACUCUCUGUAAUCGGAAAUUACCCAAGAUGCACUCUGCUCCAAAUCUCAACGAUCACUCAACCCAUAAGGGUUAGGAAACCCUGAACCACCGGAUCCCCGAUCCAAAGCCCACUUUGCCCAUUCCGGACCGACUGAGAGAUCCGUUCUCCCUCUCAGAUCAACUCUCACAAGUUCCCUCUUGCCAUCACAUACACAUACUGAACUAGUCCCAACACCCGCAGGUGGAAAGACCCGAUACACUGAUGAUAUCCUCGAACAUCUCCCAAGAUGAACCACUACAUCCACCCUACACUCUGAUCAGAUUCACACUGAGAAUUUAAAAUUUUCUCUCUCCAUGCAUCCCUUCUGAGCCUCAACAGACAUCCCAACCGGAUGGGUUCCUACUCCACUGCCGCGAACACGAUGCUCAAAACCAUACUCGAAAUACUCUAACCAUAACUCUGCUCUGCAGCUUUCACUUUCGUGAACUUGCACCCCCUUCGGAGUUACAUACCCUCCUCUUUUCCUUUUCCACGGAACUCUCUUGAACAUAAUGCCACUCCAACCGGUGCCACGGUGCUCGCCCCAAGCGACACCACCCUUUUUGCGUAACUGCUAUUCACAUACUCUGGUUCUCAUUGCAGGGGCUCUCAAUCCCAUGCACUCUCUCCACUCAUCAAAAUCACUGCCUCCGCUAAACAAGAUCAAUAACCCGGGGCCAGACCUUCCAAUGCAAUCACACUGCAACAUACGCGAUCCGCAAAUCUCAAACUAAUCCAGCAAUACCAACAGAGUCUCCAGUAUGACUGGACCGACUCUCAUAACACAUACUAGCCACUCGAGGCUAUAUCUCUGUGGGUCCGUACACCCAAACUCUGCGAACCCUCAGGUUCUAACUCUGGGAACCUUCCGGUUCCAGCUCUAGAAACAUGCACAACAUAAUCCCGUGGGAUUAAUGCAGUACAACCCAUCACGUACCUCAAACGUACCAAUACUCUGAUCGCAAAAUUCCGAUUACUUACUCAAGCUUGAUCCCGGCCUCCUCUCAGGCCUCCACAAUCAAAUGCCCUAGGUCUGUAUCUCGCCCCGCAUACCCAACACUCGCUCUCGUCGGCCUAUACUUUGCGCUGACAAACACUGCUGAAUCCCAACAGCUAAGCACCCUUACAUACUCAUCGAUCUCCCGGAGAAUUUUCUAAUUCUCCCCCACUAAAGCACUGACUAACUGCCACCGAUCGUCAUUAACGACCUUUCAGAACCAUCCUGCACAAAGAGAACAUUUACCCACUGACUGCUUCCCACAAGCGUAAGCAACCCUCAGCAAAACACAUCUCCUCCCUGAUCAAUCCGCUCAAAAGAAUCCGAUCUUUCAAUUAUCCACUCCACAACUGCAGAUGCUACCCGUCAUUCAACCCAGUGCCGCAUCUCCACUAUCAACCCUCACGAACGAUGACCAACGGAAUUCCCAAGCAAUAACCCAU
rnacentral:lncRNA from 1 species